AUCCCUGUGGCUCAGUUGGUAGAGCAUGGUGUUUGCAACGCCAGAAUGGUGUGUGCAACGCCAGGGUUGUGGGUUUGAUUCCCACGGGGGGCC
rfam:Salmo salar isolate Sally breed double haploid chromosome ssa07, whole genome shotgun sequence.